rnacentral:rRNA from 1 species
ACGUAGGGGGCAAGCGUUAUCCGGAUUUACUGGGUGUAAAGGGAGCGUAGACGGCACGGAAAGCCAGAUGUGAAAGCCCGGGGCUCAACCCCGGGACUGCAUUUGGAACUGCUGAGCUAGAGUGUCGGAGAGGCAAGUGGAAUUCCUAGUGUAGCGGUGAAAUGCGUAGAUAUUAGGAGGAACACCAGUGGCGAAGGCGGCUUGCUGGACGAUGACUGACGUUGAGGCUCGAAAGCGUGGGGAGCAAACAG